rnacentral:hammerhead_ribozyme from 1 species
GUACUGAUGAAGAGUCCCAAAUUAGGACGAAACAACUGUUCAGUAC